AGAGUUUGAUUAUGGCUCAGGAUGAACGCUAGCUACAGGCUAACACAUGCAAGUCGAGGGGCAGCAUUGGGAUAGCUUGCUAUUCAGAUGGCGACCGGCGCACGGGUGAGUAACGCGUAUCCAACCUUCCUGCCAGUAGGGAACAGCCCGGCGAAAGUCGGAUUAACGCCCUAUGUUCUUCAAUGCGGACAUCUAAGUUGAAGGAAAGAUUCAUCGCUGGCAGAUGGGGAUGCGUCCGAUUAGCUUGCCGGCGGGGUAACGGCCCACCGGGGCGACGAUCGGUAGGGGUUCUGAGAGGAAGGUCCCCCACACUGGUACUGAGACACGGACCAGACUCCUACGGGAGGCAGCAGUGAGGAAUAUUGGUCAAUGGGCGCGAGCCUGAACCAGCCAAAGUAGCGUGCAGGAUGACGGCCCUAUGGGUUGUAAACUGCUUUUAUACGGGGAUAAGGUGAGGGACGUGUCCCUUUUUGUAGGUACCGUAUGAAUAAGGACCGGCUAAUUCCGUGCCAGCCGCCGC
rnacentral:rRNA from 1 species